AAACACGAGGAAUUGUUGUGGAUUUUUUAUUAUUUUAUGGGUGACUUGAAGGCUCAAGUCUUCGUGGUGACCUGCUAGCCGGAAAAAGAAAGUCUACGGGUUAUCUAGGGUUCUUGGGUGUACCUUUCUGGGAUUUAUUUGGAAUUGAUCUUACAAGCUUCCGAUGGUUAUCAACUGACCGCUCAAUCCUGAAUAAUUCCAGGUAUUUGUCCUCUGAAUCGUUUUCUUUCCCGCCUUUUUACAACAAAAUCUACUUGAAGACCCCCGGAAAUUCGAGAAUAGGAAGCUCGAUACCUCUCAGCAUUAAAUCCUUGGAAGUUCCCUGGUCCCCAGCAAACAGCUUCCUAAAAAGAAGGCUUGGUUUUGUAAAUACACAUUUUCCUAUCUUCUACUGAGAACAGAAGGUGACCAUGGCAGGACAGCUGCCAGGGGAUCCUUCCCAGUGUGGAAUUGCAAGAGAUAGAGUUCAUAUGAUUUCUGGGGAGACAUUUGAAGGGCCUGAAUCUUGUGUGCCUAGAUGGUACUUCAGCAGAAAAGAAAUAGAAGACAAUUCCCCAUCUAGGAAGGAUGGAAUUGACUUUAAGAAAGAGGCACAACUACGAAGAUUAUACUGUUCAUUUAUUCAGGAUCUGGGGAAGAAGCUUAAAGUGCCCCAGUUAACUAUUGCAGCAGCUAUGAUGUUAUGCCAUCGAUUUUAUCUACGUCAGUCUCAUGCAAAAAAUGAAUGGCAGACAAUUGCAACAGUGAGCAUGUUUCUUGCAUGCAAAGUGGAAGAAACACCACGUUUGCUAAAGGAUGUUGUCAUUGUGGCUUAUGAGACAAUGUAUAGAAGGGAUCCUGCUGCUGCACACAGAAUUAAAGAAAAAGAUGUUUACGAGAAGCAGAAAGAACUGAUCUUAAUUGGAGAGAGACUUUUACUAGCUACUAUUGCAUAUGAUCUCAAUAUCCCGCUUCCCUACAAGCCACUUGUUUCAGCUCUAAAGAGAUUGAAGAUAGUUCACAAUGAUCUUGCAAAAGUGGCAUGGAAUUUUGUGAAUGACUGGCUUUGGACCACACUGUGUUUGCAGUACAAAGCCCAAUAUAUUGCAGCUGGUUCCAUGUUCCUUGCUGCUAAGUUUAAUGAAGUGAAGCUGCCUACAGAGAAGGGGAAAGUUUGGUGGCUGGAGUUUGAUGUUUCACCUAAACAGUUAGAAGAGGUUAUUCAACAGAUGCUUGUGCUGCUUGAGCAGAACAAGAGACCAGUAAUGCGUUUUUUUUGUGAGAAGGCAGUCCAAGCUACAGUUGUAGUUGAAAAAGCAGUCCAGAGUCCACAAUCAUGUGGUCUAAGUGGGUCAGGUUCUGCUUUGAGCCAUGGUUCUGAUGGAGAUGACAGGUUUGUAAAGGAUGCAGAUUCAAAUGUUGGCUGCAAGAAAAACUCAUUUCUUGCUGAGAAAGGAGACCCAUUACAAUGUAGGACAAGUGAUUGUGGAAGCAUGAACAGUGUUGUUGAGGAUGGAAAUAUGUCUGAUGAGGGUGAGGUUCAGGCAAAAACUACAGUAUCCAAUAAGAUUUCAAGUUGUAAGAUUGUUUCAGUUCGUGGGGGCCUUAGUGAUCUUGACAAGGAUCGGAUUAGAGAGGCAAUGAAGAAGAGGAAGUCUUAUAGAGCUUCAAAUAAGGUUGCAGUUGCUGUGUAUGAUGAUAAAGAUGAUGAUGCAUGGAUAGUGAGAGAGCUGGAAAUGGGAAUAGAGCUGGAGUCUGCACCUGUGGAGAAGAGACAAAGGCAUGUCUGAUGGAUUGGUUGAAUUUGAGCUGGAGUCUGCACCAUUUCCCUUCCCCCCCAUUUCUGAUUGGGGUGACUAUCAAAUUUCGUCACGUGGAAGACAAUGAGUAUGAACUUUAUCUGGAUUCAUAAAAUAAUCGAGGUUGGUUAUAAUGCUCUGUAAUUUGCCUUUGGUCCUCAAUGUAUCCAACAGAUAGGGUACUUUUUCUUGUAAUUGUUCGGGUCAUCAUUCGAUUUAAUUAAUGAAUUAUGAACCUAAAAGCUACAAGCUUCCUUUACGAGCCUGGAUGGUCAAAUUAGAAAACCUGGUCCGUGCUUGGUUUGGACCAGCUUUUUUCACAUGGAGAACGAACAUAUACCAGUAGAAGAAAAAGAAAGAGAAGCAAAGAAAAUGCGAGGGGUUUGAAUCUUGAGAUUGCUAUUGAAAUGGUUCAAGCUUAUCGUACACAAUUCUUGAUCUUUCAGAUGCCUGGUUUGCUAGUCACGUGAUUAUAAUAUUUCACUUUUUCUCAAGUUGAAUUUGAUUUAUUUAGUUUUAUUUUCAAUGGGUGCAUUUGGCAUAUGUCUACAACAUCCUUAGACGAAUCUUUUUCCACCAUCCUGGCUUUGUUAAAUGUAAUUAUUUAUGGUCUAUUUCUAAGGUUA